CAAUAGCGUAUAUUAAAGUUGUUGCAGUUAGAACGCUCGUAGUCGGAUUUCGGGGCGGGCCGACCGGUCUGCCGAUGGGUACGCACUGGUCGGCGCGUCCUUCCUUCCGGAGACCGUGCCUACUCUUAACUGAGCGGGGGCGGGAGACGGAUCGUUUACUUUGAAAAAAUCAGAGUGUUUCAAGUAGGCAGCUCGCUCUUGCAUGGAUUAGCAUGGGAUAAUGAAAUAGGACUUUGGUGCUAUUUUGUUGGUUUCGAACACCGAAGUAAUGAUUAACAGGGACAGUCAGGGGCACUCGUAUUCCGCCGAGAGAGGUGAAAUUCUCAGACCAGCGGAAGACGAACUACUGCGAAAGCAUUUGCCAGGGAUGUUUUCACUGA
rnacentral:rRNA from 1 species